rnacentral:rRNA from 1 species
AGCGAACGCUGGCGGCAGGCUUAACACAUGCAAGUCGAACGGUCCUUCGGGAUAGUGGCGGACGGGUGAGUAAACGCCGGGAACGAACCCUUGGGUUGGGAAAAACCCGGGAAACUUGUGGUUAAACCGGAUUAGGCCUUCCGGGGGAAAGAUUUAUCGCCUUUGGAGCGGCCCGCGUCUGAUUAGCUUGUUGGUGGGGUAAUGGCUCACCGAGGCUACGAUCAGUAGCUGGUCUGAGAGGAUGGCCAGCCACACUGGGACUGAGACACGGCCCAGACUCCUACGGGAGGCAGCAGUGGGGAAUCUUGCGCAAUGGGCGAAAGCCUGACGCAGCCAUGCCGCGUGGAUGAUGAAGGUCUUAGGAUUGUAAAAUCCUUUCACCGGGGACGAUAAUGACGGUACCCGGAGAAGAAGCCCCGGCUAACUUCGUGCCAGCAGCCGCGGUAACAC